ensembl:lncRNA
AAAGCCUAACUCAUAUAUAUCCAGAUUACCAUCUAUGUUCUUCCUCCAAACCCAUUUUAUGAUUGGGAUUACAGGCAGUUCUUUAGGACUGCUCUCAAAUAAUUGAAAUGUCACUAAACGAGGUUAUACUUAUCAAAUUAAAUAGCUCUGGUCUCCAGUAUAUUGGCAAAUUCAGUUCUUUGUACUUAAUUUAUUAGCAUGAUUUCUUUUUAAUAUGUUGCGUACUUAAUUACUUCUCUGUCUACUUUUCUUACUCCAUGUAGGUUUCCCAGAGACUAUGGGUUGAGGAGGAAUUGGAAGUUUGUCGGCUUAGACCUGGUGUCAUUCCAUCAGUGUUAAACUUCCCGGCUCAUCUUUGAAGAGUAUGUGCCAGAAAGACCACGACCAAGCAGCCUUGAGAUCUUAGGUAGCGUCUCCCUGAGGUCCCUCUCUAUCUCCCCACACAUCCACCAACCACUGGAACACAUCUCCAAAGUUCUGCUGGACCAGCUCAGCUUCCCCUCAGAAGAAGUGCCGCCACCUGCCAGAUGAAGGAGCCUUUUGAGAGGCAGCUGGUAUCGUGAUUGGACUGUACUUUGGUCUGUUCCAAUCCAGCUUCAGCUCCAGAGACGGCAGGCGGAACGAGUCAACGGAGGCCGGGUGGACGAAGGCAUGCAGCUGAGUACAAUCCAGAAAACAACAGAGGAGGAGUGCA